rnacentral:tRNA from 2 species
AAAAAGAUAAGCUAAUUAAGCUAAUGGGUUCAUACCCCAUUUAUAAAGGUACUAUCCUUUUCUUUUUA